rnacentral:rRNA from 1 species
CCUACGGGAGGCAGCAGUCGAGAAUCAUUCACAAUGGGGGAAACCCUGAUGGUGCGACGCCGCGUGGGGGAAUGAAGGUCUUCGGAUUGUAAACCCCUGUCAUGUGGGAGCAAAUUAAAAAGAUAGUACCACAAGAGGAAGAGACGGCUAACUCUGUGCCAGCAGCCGCGGUAAUACAGAGGUCUCAAGCGUUGUUCGGAAUCACUGGGCGUAAAGUGUGUGUAAGCUGUUUCGUAAGGCGUGUGUGAAAGGCGCGGGCUCAACCCGCUGACCGCAAAUGAUAUUGGGGGACUAGAGUGGAGGAGAGGGAAGCGGAAUUCUCGGUGUAGCAGUGAAAUGCGUAGAUAUCGAGAAGAACACUCGUGGCGAAGGCAGGUUCCUGGACAUUAACUGACGCUGAGGCACGAAGGCCAGGGGAGCGAAAGGGAUUAGAUACCCCAGUAGUC